rnacentral:rRNA from 1 species
AACGAACGCUGGCGGCAUGCCUAACACAUGCAAGUCGAACGAGACCUUCGGGUCUAGUGGCGCACGGGUGCGUAACGCGUGGGAACCUGCCCUUAGGUUCGGAAUAACUCCCCGAAAGGGGUGCUAAUACCGGAUAAUGUCUUCGGACCAAAGAUUUAUCGCCUUUGGAUGGGCCCGCGUUGGAUUAGCUAGUUGGUAGGGUAAAAGCCUACCAAGGCGACGAUCCAUAGCUGGUCUGAGAGGAUGAUCAGCCACACUGGGACUGAGACACGGCCCAGACACGUGAGGGAGGAAGCAGGGGGGAAGAAUGGAGAAUGCGAGAAAGGCGGAGCGAGGAAUGCAGCGUGUGGGAAGAAGGUCUUAGGAUGGGAAAGCAAUAUAAGUUGGGAGGAAGGGCAGCACGUUAACACCCGGCUGUGUGGACGUGACCAAAAGAAUAAGAACGGGCAAAAUUAGGG